rnacentral:misc_RNA from 1 species
GCCACCACGCGACAACAAACGCGCGCGGGCGCCACAGGAACCCCGACGCCCACUGGCCGCCGGAAAACACGCGGGCUGCGCCCCUAUGCCCAGCCGCGGCCCCUUUUUCCCCCGGGACAAAACCCCGCAGGGCCUCGGGGCGCCGCAACCCCCCCCCCCGGCGACGGCAAAGCCCAAGCCGAGGAAACACCACGACACCGAGGCCCCCCCGCGGCACAAACGCCAAACGACGCGCCGCGCCAGCGCCCUGGCACUUUGAACGCGCGCACACGCCAAACAACCAGUAGCGGAGACCGGCCCCACCAGGCCAAACAAGGCGGGGCGGGAAAGCGACGACCCCAGCGAGGCCCACCCGGAAGAAAACGGGAACGGAAAACGCACACGCAGGAAGCCGGCGACGCCACCGGCGCACAACCCACUUCCCCCAGAAUACGGCUUGCACCCGCAGCCUCGCGUUUCCAGCGGCAACCGAAAGCCGCACCCGUCACCACAACCCCUUUCCAGGGGAAGAAACCACCGCCCUGCCCCAAGGAAAGGAAGCCGCGAAACAGCGGCAGCCACGGAGACAACCACACGACACCGCCCCCUUCAAAAGGCGUUUCCCCUGGGCUUUGCGACUCGGGAAAUUUGAAAAAGCAAAAAAAAAAUAGCCUUCCCCCACUUCCAAACAGAAAAACAAACCAAAACGCUCGCAGGUAAAGCGCCUGCCCCCCAAGGCCUCAUUUCCCGCGCCGCCCGUUCCACCCAAAGGGACCGAGGGCACCAAGCAAAAAAAAGGCGCCCCCAAACCACCCCAAAGGCUGGCGCCCUGGAAAAAACAGCGCGCCCACCGCCCCCCCCCCCCAGGGACGCAAACAAAACAAUGAAGCCGGCGGGAAGCGCCACACACACAAAAGCAACGCGCAUGGCCCGCCCCGGCUGGCAAGCGCUCACCCCACGAAAAGGGUAUGACGCAAACACGCGCCCCCCCCCGUUUAUCUUAGCGAAAGCCACUUUGGCGACGCGCCCUGCUUUUCACCCCGGCUGAAACCUAUCAGGAAACGCCCCCCCCACUAUUUAUUUUCACCACACAAG